rnacentral:rRNA from 1 species
AGUGAACGCUGGCGGUAGGCCUAACACAUGCAAGUCGAACGGCAGCACAGUAAGAGCUUGCUCUUACGGGUGGCGAGUGGCGGACGGGUGAGGAAUACAUCGGAAUCUACUUUUUCGUGGGGGAUAACGUAGGGAAACUUACGCUAAUACCGCAUACGACCUACGGGUGAAAGCAGGGGAUCUUCGUACCUUGCGCGAUUGAAUGAGCCGAUGUCGGAUUAGCUAGUUGGCGGGGUAAAGGCCCACCAAGGCGACGAUCCGUAGCUGGUCUGAGAGGAUGAUCAGCCACACUGGAACUGAGACACGGUCCAGACUCCUACGGGAGGCAGCAGUGGGGAAUAUUGGACAAAGGGCGCAAGCAUGAUCCAGCCAUACCGCGUGGGUGAAGAAGGCCUUCGGGUUGUAAAGCCCUUUUGUUGGGAAAGAAAAGCAGCAGGUUAAUACCCCGCUGUUCUGACGGUACCCAAAGAAUAAGCACCGGCUAACUUCGUG